rnacentral:rRNA from 1 species
AUUGAACGCUGGCGGCAUGCUUUACACACGCAAGUCGAACGGUAACAGGUUAAGCUGACGAGUGGCGAACGGGUGAGUAAUGCAUCGGAACGUGCCCGGUCGUGGGGGAUAACGCAGCGAAAGCUGCGCUAAUACCGCAUACGAUCUGAGGAUGAAAGCGGGGGACCGUAAGGCCUCGCGCGAUCGGAGCGGCCGAUGUCAGAUUAGGUAGUUGGUGGGGUGAAGGCUCACCAAGCCGACGAUCUGUAGCUGGUCUGAGAGGACGACCAGCCACACUGGGACUGAGACACGGCCCAGACUCCUACGGGAGGCAGCAGUGGGGAAUUUUGGACAAUGGGCGCAAGCCUGAUCCAGCAAUGCCGCGUGCAGGAAGAAGGCCUUCGGGUUGUAAACUGCUUUUGUACGGAGCGAAAAGGCUCUCUCUAAUACAGGGGGCUCAUGACGGUACCGUAAGAAUAAGCACCGGCUAACUACGUGCCAGCCGCCGCAGUAA